rnacentral:pre_miRNA from 1 species
GUUUAUGAUUAGGAACUCUCUUCACUUCAAAUUUGAAAGGAGAGAAGGGUAGAUCACGGCUGCUAGUUCAUGGAUAUCUUUAAGUGCGCAGGUUAAGAUGGUGCGCAUUUUAAGGGUGUGCAUGAAUCAGGAGCCGAGCUUACCUUCUUCUUUUCUAAAUUGGAGUGAAGGGAGUUCCUAAUUGUGAUCCU